GCCCGUAUAGAGUAAUAGCAACUCGUUGGCCUCCUAUCUCGGUCAUACCCGGGUGACAGCCAAGGAUCUCGGUGCAAAUCCGAGUGCGGGUG